rnacentral:lncRNA from 1 species
UCGGCAUUCCGCCCCAGGUCCUCCCCACCCAGCUGGGGCAGGGCGUAGCCUGAAGGGCAGGAGCUCAGCCAUCACCAGGAGGAGCAGAGCUGAUGAUCCAGCCUCACACCGAGCCUGGGGAACAAAGUGUUUGAGCUGGGGAAGAAAAUGUUUGAGCCGGGGAACAAAGUGUUUGAGCUGGCUGCUGCCUGAGAAAGAAGAGCAUUAACCCUGGUUUCCCUCCAACCUCCAGCACUUGCACUUCAGCCAUCAUUGAUCCUCCAUCCCAGGGAAAUUCCGUGCAGUGCAAUUUGGGGAGGCUGUUGGGGGAAAUGGGGAGCAGAGCAUCCCAGGAGCUGCGGCAUGGACGAGGCUUCUCCCUCCACCAGGAUCCUGAGCUGUGUCCCUGUGCUGAUCCCUGGCUUUGAGUCUGGCUGCCUUUGCUGGGUGUCCUGCGGACAGGAGGGACACAGAAGCCAGCGGAUUUGGGCUCCUCUGUCCGCUCACGGAGCAGGUGUAGGAGGGCAGCGUGAACAAGCAGCACAUUUCAGAAUAAAAGAGAAUAAAGAGCUCAUCAGGACUGCUGCCUCUGGCCUCUGGACAUGCUCAGGCACUCCAGGGCUGCUGGGGUGCCUUGGUUUCCUGUGGUACCACCAACAGGUGCAGAAUGGCCAAGAAAGAGGUUUCAACCUUGGCAGGAGAUAACAGGUUAUCUGGAGAUGCUGGGCACUGGAAUGUCAUCAGCCCCCCGGACUCAGUUCAGUGCCCUGUGAGGAGGGACGAGGCUUUGGCAGCGCUGCUGGGAUCGGACCCAUCCUCCGUGUCUGCCCAGUGCCACCUACAGCAGCCAGAGCAGAAGCUGCAGCGCCGGCAAAGCGAUGGAAACAAUUCCAGCACCUCCAGCAAAAGGUGUGUUCACAUUGAUGGUAAAAGGUUUUAAAAUCAUAGAAAAUUUGGGGAGCUAGAGAGAAAGUUAGGCGUAGUAUGCCCUGGGAAAUUGUUAGGCCUUGUGUUUGCUAGGUUAUGUGAAACUGCGCCUGUGUAGUCAGUAUAUGAUAGAUAAUUGUUAGAUGUGAUUAGAUAUAAUUAUUGUUUAAAGAAUAAUGAGAAACUCUAACACACUUUAACAAACUACUUAAGAAAACUAAUACAGCAUAACUUUCUAACAUAACACAUAUAAUAUUCAUUUUAAUAUUUGCAAAAAAGCCAACAAUAAAAUAUGCACUUUUCACA